rnacentral:rRNA from 1 species
UAGAAGAGAUAAUGCUAAAAUUAGUAAUAAGAGAGAACCAGUCUCUCUCCCAGCAAAUGUGUAAGUCAGAUCGGACAAACCACUGACAAAUAACGGACCCCAAAAAGAGGGUAAAACAACAAACCAGAUAAACAAGAAGAACUUGUGCUAAAACCAACCGUUAUCCCAACACAGGAAUGCCUCAAGGAAAGACUAAAAGGAGAAGAAGGAACUCGGCAAACACAAACCCCGCCUGUUUACCAAAAACAUCGCCUCUUGCUAACAAAAGAUGUAUUAGAGGUCCCGCCUGCCCGGUGACACAAUGUUUAACGGCCGCGGUAUUCUGACCGUGCGAAGGUAGCGUAAUCACUUGUCUUUUAAAUGAAGACCUGUAUGAAUGGCAUCACGAGGGUUUAACUGUCUCCUUCUCCCAGUCAAUGAAAUUGAUCUGCCCGUGCAGAAGCGGACAUAAAGACAUAAGACGAGAAGACCCUAUGGAGCUUCAGGCUAAGGACCAGACAUGUAAAACAGGCCAAUUACUCAAAAAGACCAAUAAAACCCCUAAAACCAAGCGUUAAUUGAUCCAAAUGCCUUCGGUUGGGGCGACCACGGGGGAAAACAAAGCCCCCAUAUGGAACGGAGACACCUCCCAAACCAAGAAAAACACCUCUAAGUAACAGAACAUCUGACCAAAAAUGACCCAGGACAAACAAAACCUGAUCAAUGAACCAAGUUACCCUAGGGAUAACAGCGCAAUCCUUUCCCAGAGUCCAUAUCGACGAAAGGGUUUACGACCUCGAUGUUGGAUCAGGACAUCCUAAUGGUGCAGCCGCUAUUAAGGGUUCGUUUGUUCAACGAUUAACAGUCCUACGUGAUCUGAGUUCAGACCGGAGUAAUCCAGGUCGGUUUCUAUCUAUGAAACUACUUCUUCCCAGUACGAAAGGAUCGAAAGAAGGGGGCCCAUAUUAAAAACAAGCCCCACCCCUACCUUCUGAAAACAAAUAAAGAAG